AACGAACGCUGGCGGCGUGCCUAACACAUGCAAGUCGUGCGAGAAAGUUCCUUCGGGAGCGAGUAAAGCGGCGCACGGGUGAGUAACACGUAGGUAACCUGCCCCCCAGUCUGGAACAACGUAGAGGAAACUCUAGCUAAUGCCGGAUGGGACCACGAUCCCUUCGGGGGUUGCGGGCCAAAAGAUGGCCUCUACUUGUAAGCUAUCGCUGAGGGAUGGGCCUGCGGGCCAUUAGCUUGUUGGUGAGGUAACGGCUCACCAAGGCUGUGAUGGCUAGCUGGUCUGAGAGGAUGACCAGCCACGCUGGGACUGAGACACGGCCCAGACUCCUACGGGAGGUCAGCA
rnacentral:rRNA from 1 species